ACGUAGCGGUGAUAAUGGACGGGAACGGGCGGUGGGCUCGGCAGCGGGGAUUGGCGACAUCAGCAGGACACGAAGCCGGUGUAAAGGCGUUGAGGGAGCUGAUCGAACUAUGUUGCCAGUGGGGGAUCCAGGUUCUGACUGUCUUCGCCUUCUCUUACGAGAACUGGAUUCGUCCCAGGGUAAUUUAUGUACUUGUAAUUUCAUAUUAUGGUUUUGAUUAAGGUAAAGAUGUAGAGAGGGUUAAAUUUGGAGUGAAUACUAUGAUUAAUUGGGGGUGUAGUCGAAGUGCAGGUGGAGGUUGAUUUUUUGAUGAGUUUGUUUGAGAGAGCGUUGAAGUCUGAAGUGGAGUCAUUUUCUAGGUAACUCCCCUUUCGCUUCUCAUUUUUAUACCAAAUUAUUUUACUGCUUAUACUUCCAAAUUAAUUUCUAAAUCUAUUUUUUCCAGAUUAAUUAAAUAUUAAUUCAAUUAAGAAAUAAUUAAUAUAUAAUUAAAUUGUUAAUUAAAAACUGUUAUGUGCUAAUUUGUUUCAUAUGAAUUUUUUUUUUGUAUAUGAAUGAUUAAAUUGUUCUAUUUUAACAAAUGUUUUUUUUUAGAUUAAAACAAUUUCUUGUAUCUAGAAUUAUAUAGCGGGAUUCUCAUAUCUGAUAUCCUAUUUUGAUUGGAGCAGAGGAGGCAUUCGAAUAUCAGUAAUAGGGGAUUCAACAAAGCUUCCCACAUCGCUGCAAAAGUUGAUCAACGAAGUUGAGGAGACCACAAAACAUAACUCCAGGCUCCAACUCAUUGUAGCCGUCAGCUACAGUGGGAAAUACGACGUCGUACAAGCAUGCCGGAGCAUUGCCGAGAAAGCCAAAGACGGCCAAAUCCAACUAGAUGACAUCAACGAAAGCCUAAUCGAACAAG
rnacentral:lncRNA from 1 species